UACGGGGGGGGCAAGCGUUGUUCGGAAUUACUGGGCGUAAAGGGCUCGUAGGCGGCCAACUAAGUCAGACGUGAAAUCCCCAGGCUUAACUUGGGAACUGCGUCUGAUACUGGAUGGCUUGAGUUUGGGAGAGGGAUGCGGAAUUCCAGGUGUAGCGGUGAAAUGCGUAGAUAUCUGGAGGAACACCGGUGGCGAAGGCGACAUCCUGGACCAACACUGACGCUGAGGAGCGAAAGCCAGGGGAGCAAACAGG
rnacentral:rRNA from 1 species